rnacentral:lncRNA from 1 species
AUGGGAACAGCACCCCCGGCACUGGGGAGACUGGGCGGACUGGGAGCAGCUGGGGAGGUGCCCCCAAGCAGCGUGGGAGCAGCGCAGUUUUGGGUGGAAAAGAGGCAGAUUUGGGGCUUUUUGGUGUUGUUUGGGAAGAGCGGCUUCACGCAGCAGGGGCAGGAUUUGCCCGGUGGGUGCAGACGGACGGACGGACAGAGGGACGGGUGGGUGGGGGGCUGGAUGGAUGGACAGAGGGAUGGGGGGGGGGGCUGCACGGACGGACAGAGGGAUGGGGCGCAUCUCUCCCCGCUGCCCCCCACGUGCCCGGGGCGUGCUGGGUGCCAUAACCGGGUAAAUAUUAAUGCCCUUAUCGCCCAGACCUUGGCAACGGCCGCGGGCGGCUCCGCUCUGCCCCGCUCCGUCCUCGGGGAGAAAACAAACGGGGGGGCAGCACCCAUGGGUGGGCGCCGUCGGGGCCCCCUCCCACUGCAACUCCCCGAGGGGGUGAAGAAUCCCUGGGGGCGUGGGGAUGGGGGGUCCCCAGCGAAGGGCUUUGCUUUAAGGGUGGGGGUCUGCACAGAGCAGCCCCCGCUCACGCUGCCCCCUCCCAGAGGCUCGGGGGCGCUCAGAUCGGCUUUGGGGGCACCCCUGGGUGCUGCCGAGCCCUGCCUCAUCCUGCAGGGCCCGGAUCUGGUGGGGGCCAAACCCCAUCCUCGGCACACAGCCGGGUGUCUGCCUGUCUGUCCGUCCGUCCGUCUGUCCAUCUGUCUGUCCGUCCAUCCGUCUAUCCGGGUGUCUCCGUGUGUCUGUGCACGCCCCGAGGGUCUGCGCCCACACCCAGGGGCGCAUCCAUGUCUGCGCCCCCCCCAGCGCCCGCCUCUGUGUCCGUGUGUCCGUCCGUGUGUCCGUGUGUCCGAGCACACCCCACACCAAGGGCCAAGGUGGGGGCAUCCCAGCGGGUCGGGGGGCAGGGGGGUUUUUGGGGUGCAAUGGCAGCUCCGAGCCGUGCGCGUUGGCACCACCGCGGUGUUCGGGGACGGGGCCGGAGCGGCGGGGAGGGGCGGGGGGGGGGGGGGGGGCCGCGGCGGGGGCCCCCCCAGAAAAACCUCUUCUUGUGGGGGUCGGCGAAGGUGA